rnacentral:misc_RNA from 1 species
UUCUUGAUUAAUUUUCCUCUUCUGGUUUUAAAUCUUUAAAAGUACACCAACAAUUUAUAGAAGGGAAAUUUUAACGUGUGGGGUAAGGGUUUUGUUUCCUAAAUUCUUUUUGCAACGAGGGUGCUGUUACGUAUAUUUUGCUUCCUUUGGAUCCAAUAUCCAGCAUCUGCCUGUUGGCAAAGUAGUGAAUAGAUGUGUAUAUAUUGGUA